CAUCUUUCUAUUUUGACCAGCAGAUUAAUCAGCCCUAAGAAGGAUCCUCACACAGUGGAACAACCACAAGGAUGAAGCCACUGUCUUUGAUCUUGGGUCUUUGGGCUCUUGUAACCUGUUUCUCUCCUGGAGAGAGUCAGAGAGGCCCUUGGAGACCAUAUCCUCCUAGACCAUGGAUUCCUCCACCACCUAAUCCUCUUGGCCCAGAAUUUGUUCUACCACCUCCUCCUCCACCCUAUGGCCCAGGAAAAAUCCCUCCACCCCCUCCUCCUCUCAGUGGUCCAGGGGGAAUCCCACCACUCCCUCCUUUUUGAAGACUAAGGAAAAUCUCACUACCCCCUCUGCCUCCCCUCUGUUGUCCAGGUUAUGUAUAUUCAAAAUCCCAACUUAGCCCCUAUCCACCUGGACUUUCAUUCUUCCCUAGGUACAAUACAAUUUAUCCUCCAUUC